rnacentral:lncRNA from 1 species
UAAGAGUGCGUGUGUUUGUGUAUGUGUACGCGCGUGUGUGUGUGUGUUGUUGUCAGCGUCGAAGAAAUGUGCCUGCCUUCGCGUGCGGUAAACCAGGUACGCCUGCGCUUUAAACCCAACCCUUGGUCUACUUGGGAUGGAAAUGAAUUUCCCCACGCCACCACAACAUCCACAACCGACCGAACUAGAUGCACCCGGAAGAAUAAGGCGCGCGCUUACUUGUAUCACACCACACACCACACACCACCACCACCGCCACUACCACCACCACCACCACCUCGGGCCAUAUCGACCCAAAGCAAACCCACCCUCCACCUGACCCCACCCCACCCUCCACCCCACGCCACUUGACCCCCACUCCACUCCUUUCCACCCCCAAUGCCAA